rnacentral:misc_RNA from 1 species
UACUGGUGUGAGGGAUAGCAGCGAAAAGCCCACAGGCCAGUAGCCGAGGACUUGAAGCGGAAAGCCCGGCCCGAU